rnacentral:rRNA from 1 species
AACGCGAAGAACCUUACCUGGGCUCGAAAUGUAGAGGAUGAUAUCAGAGAUGAUAUUUCUCGAAAGGGUCUCUAUAUAGGUGCUGCAUGGCUGUCGUCAGCUCGUGCCGUGAGGUGUUUGGUUAAGUCCAGCAACGAGCGCAACCCUUAUCGUUAGUUGCCAGCGCGUAAAGGCGGGAACUCUAACGAGACUGCCUGGGUUAACCAGGAGGAAGGUGAGGAUGACGUCAAGUCCGCAUGGCCUUUAUGUCCAGGGCAACACACGUGCUACAAUGGUCGGUACAGAAGGCAGCAAAACCGCGAGGUGAAGCAAAUCCUACAAAACCGAUCUCAGUUCAGAUUGGAGUCUGCAACUCGACUCCAUGAAGUUGGAAUUGCUAGUAAAGGCAAGUCAGCUACAUUGCCUUGAAUACGUUCCCGGGCCUUGUA